rnacentral:lncRNA from 1 species
CUCCCAUGUCACCACCAGUGAGAAAACGAGGAAACGGAAAGGAGACGAGCAGCUGUACUCACCACAGACAAGCGGUGGCAGCCAUGUUCACAGACACUGCGCCGACGCGAGCCCUCUUAACCGGAUGUGCGCGUUGGCUCUGGGGCGACCAAGAAGGGGCGUGGUGGCGCCUCGGACCAGCGUGCGCGCUCUCGCUGGCCGCCCAGUCUUUUUGUCCGCACGGGAGCGGGUGUUUUUCUCCAGCCGCUGGUCCGGUGUUCCUGAGGAGGAGGCUACGGUGUGCCGCCUGGGCUGCUUCGGGCUCUGCUCCCCAUGUCCUGCGCCGCCCGGCAGCCCAUGAGGGUGCCAUCUCCAGGAAGUCACUGUUUACAAAAACUUUGCCAGAAUUCUGGCAACCACCUGUCAUCCUGUGGCUCCUUUAGAGUUCAACUCAAUGACAGGAACCAUCCUUGGGCUUCCUCCUUUGGGUAUCUAUCCAGUGAUUCUCUGAAGACCUUAUCAACAGGGACACCCAAGAGAUCCUAUCUUCUCAGUUCCUCACCAGAUCUCCAGCUACUGAUGCCAGUGGACUUUUCCUAGAACUUCUUAAAACAAAAGACAUUGUUCUCAGAUUCUCCUUGGGAAAAAGAAAGAAUUCUGUUGUGAAGAUGAAAACUAAACAGGAAAACACUGAAAAACUAUUCUCUUUCUCUUACUGGCUGGCAACUUACUAUAGCACAAAGAGAUACAAUGAGAGCUACUAAGGUCCCCAGAUCUCUCACUGCAUGCAUCAGUGGGGCACGGAAGCAGUAGGGGAAUCUGAUCAAGGCCUUCUCUGUCUUCCCUCUUAAAGGGCAUGUAAGAGUCCUGCAUCCCCUUGAUUCCCCUCAUGAGACUGCCAAGUAGAGGCUACAGAAAAGCCCCACCUUGCCCAGGACUGGCUUAGUAUCUCUGUUGAGUGGAUCCAUAAGGGGAUGGGUGGUUGCCAUUCUGAAUGCAGAUAAAGAACGCUUAGAAUCAAAUACUAAGAUUAUCAAGACAUUAUUCCAUGUGAAAGAUGAAUUGUGUUUCUGUGUGUGUGUGCACAUGCGUAUUCAUGCAUAUACACAUCCUUCUGAUAGGAUGGUGAAUGGGCAGGGAGCCCUGAAACAAGGAAAGGAAACUAGAGAAGUUGACUCUUCCUGCCUCAGUUACCUGCCAGAGGGCUGAGCAGCACGGUGUUUGUGUAAUUAGCAUGAACAGAUAGGCAUGAGGAGUUGGGACAGACGAAGGUCAGCAUUCAUGGCCCAGCCUCUCCCCUACCUGCUCAUUUUUCAACCAUGGUGCAGAUAUUGGAUGUUAUUGGUAGGUGGAAAGAAAGAUUUGAACGAAGAUAUGGGUAGGACCUGGCUGAGAUGUCAUUUAGGAAAGUGUGGUCACCGCAGGCCCCUGGGCUGGGGGACACACUUGUUAUCUGGCCCUGUUCUUCUGGGCCAGGGAUAGCUCAGUGGCACAGAACCUGCCUGGCAAGUGCAAGGUCCUAAAUUCGAUCCCAGUAUCAAUAUUUUAGUGCCAGAGAUAUAGUUCCAGUGGCAUGUGCCUGCCUGGCAAGCACAAGGUCAUAAGUUUGAUUCUUGGUACCAAAAAAAAAAAAAAAAAAAAAAAACCCAAAAAAAACAAACAAACAAAAAAAAACAGAUUCUAUCUUCUCUCUCCUCUCAAACAAAUCUGUUUUGGAAAAUGAGUGUUUUUCAGUUAGACAUUCUAUGAGAUCAGUUCUUGAUGGUAAACUUUUCAGGAAAGAAAAAAGGAAAUAAGUGUAUAAAUUAUCUUAAAAUCUGUCUUUACAUCAAAAGUUUUUCAAAAAGCAAAAAUGAAACACCACAGGUGCUGCAAGGUUAUUUUCAAGGUGCUGAAGGAAAGACAUAUUCAAAACAGCAAAAGCAGAGUUUAGCACAGAUAAGAACUAAAAUAAUUUAAGGUGAGAGUUAGCAUGAGAAUGUGCUGGGCUGAUACAGAAUUGCCAAGCAAUCAACUCUGCAGUUUUCCCCCUCAUCCUUCUGACCCUGUAGUGGAUCCAGUUAGGCUUGAUGCCCCUGAUCUUCAUAUCAACACUUGUAGACCUCAGCAGACCACAUCAUCCACACAAUACCCACCAUUGUGUGGACCAACCAUGAUGACGUUUACCUUACUCUUCAAACUAUAUAUACUUUAACAAAAACCAUUUGCCACUAACUUAGCCUGUCCCAAUAAAAUCAGCCUUUUAAGCUUGCUGAGUGAGAAAGAAUGUGAUUCUAUUUUUGAUAUCUGAAAACUGACAGCUUCCGAGAUCCCUCCUUUGCCAGCAUUGGAGCCAGUUACCAAGAAAGGCAUGGGGCUUCCUACUUGGAGCCAAUGGAAGCUGCCUCCACAUAAGCGCAACACAGCUACAGUCAUGGACUCAUCCUAGUAAGAGGCCAGCCCAUCUCCUUUCCUACUCACUGAAGCUACCUCACCUGCCUAGUGUUCAGCAACAGAAAAGUAACUAAAGUGGCCCUGUGGACAUCACUGUAUAGCCAAUGUCAAUUCAGCAACAAACACCUUCUGCUGCUAAAUCCAUCUGAGCAAACCAUAAUUUCACUUUGAGCACAAAUAAUUAUAAACUUAUUCCAACACUACAAGAGUUAGGUGUUCCCACCUUUAGCAGGCAGGAUUGUGCAAUGGUUGAUAUAUUGUGUCAAUUUAAGAAGUUUAGAAGUUUAAUUACUCAGCAGUGAGUCAGGAUUCUUUAUUUGUAAACUUUUUCAUCCUGUGCAAGAGGAAGGCAUGCAGAUGGCAUGAGUGCUACUACAACUCCCUCACUCCAAGGCAGAGUAGCCUGCUUAAAAUAUAAGAGAGGAAAAGAGGCUUGCUCUUCCCCCAAUUUUGCUCUUGUUGCUUUUGUUGUCUUCUGCCACUUUUGAAAUGUUGCCCUGUGCCAUGCCAACCAGCUGAUUAUGACCUGAAACCUCCACAGCUGAUUAUGGUCUGAAACCUCCACAAACUGUGAGCUAAACAAUCUUUUCCUCUUUAAUUUUGAGUGCUGACGGGAAAUACUUCCCAGAAUCAAUAACUGGGACCACUUCUUAUUAAAAAGUUUCUGCAUGUCAAAAGAAAUCUCCAGCAUAGUGAAAAGAAAACCCACAAACUGGGAAAAGAUUUUAGUGAACUCUCUCUCAGACAAGGGCCUCUUGUCUAAAACAUACAAAGAAUUAAAGAAACUCAGACCUCCAAAAUUCAAAGAUCCAAUCCAAAAAUGGGCAUCUGAGAUGAAUAUGCAAUUCUCAGAUGAAGAAAUGCAAAUGGCAAAUAAAUACAUGAAAAAAUGCUCAUCAUCAUUGGUCAUUAGAGAAAUGCAAAUUAAAA